CAGCAGCCACGGGAAUACGGAGGGUGCAAGCGUUAAUCGGAAUUACUGGGCGUAAAGCGCACGCAGGCGGUUUGUUAAGUCAGAUGUGAAAUCCCCGAGCCUAACUUGGGAACUGCAUUUGAAACUGGCAAGCUAGAGUCUUGUAGAGGGGGGUAGAAUUCCAGGUGUAGCGGUGAAAUGCGUAGAGAUCUGGAGGAAUACCGGUGGCGAAGGCGGCCCCCUGGACAAAGACUGACGCUCAGGUGCGAAAGCGUGGGGAGCAAACAGGAUUAGAUACCCCAGUAGUCCCUGUCUCUUAUAC
rnacentral:rRNA from 1 species